AGCGAACGCUGGCGGCAGGCCUAACACAUGCAAGUCGAACGAACUCUUCGGAGUUAGUGGCGGACGGGUGAGUAACACGUGGGAACGUGCCUUUUGGUUCGGAAUAACUCAGGGAAACUUGUGCUAAUACCGAAUGUGCCCUUCGGGGGAAAGAUUUAUCGCCAUUAGAGCGGCCCGCGUCUGAUUAGCUAGUUGGUGAGGUAACGGCUCACCAAGGCGACGAUCAGUAGCUGGUCUGAGAGGAUGACCAGCCACACUGGGACUGGGACACGGCCCAGACUCCUACGGGAGGCAGCAGUGGGGAAUCUUGCGCAAUGGGCGGAGGCCUGACGCAGCCAUGCCGCGUGAAUGAUGAAGGUCUUAGGAUUGUAAUAUUCUUUCACCGGGGACGAUAAUGACGGUACCCGGAGAAGAAGCCCCGGCUAACUUCGUG
rnacentral:rRNA from 1 species